CUGCUGCCUUCCGUAGGAGUUUGGGCCGUGUCUCAGUCCCAAUGUGGCCGGUCACCCUCUCAGGUCGGCUACUGAUCGUCGGCUUGGUAGGCCGUUACCCCACCAACUACCUAAUCAGACGCGGGUCCAUCUCAUACCGUCAAGGCUUUGGCCCCUGUGCCAUGCGGCACUGUGGUCUUAUGCGGUAUUAGCAGUCAUUUCUAACUGUUAUCCCCCUGUAUGAGGCAGGUUACCCACGCGUUACUCACCCGUCCGCCA
rnacentral:rRNA from 1 species